rnacentral:rRNA from 1 species
GUGAGGAAUAUUGGUCAAUGGGCGAGAGCCUGAACCAGCCAAGUCGCGUGAAGGAAGAAGGAUCUAUGGUUCGUAAACUUCUUUUGCAGGGGAAUAAAGUGCGGGACGUGUCCUGUUUUGUAUGUACCCUGAGAAUAAGGAUCGGCUAACUCCGUGCCAGCAGCCGCGGUAAUACGGAGGAUCCGAGCGUUAUCCGGAUUUAUUGGGUUUAAAGGGUGCGUAGGUGGUUUGAUAAGUCAGCGGUGAAAGUUUGCAGCUUAACUGUAAAAAGACCGUUGAAACUGUCGGACUAGAGUGUAAAUAAGGUAGGCGGAAUGCGUGGUGUAGCGGUGAAAUGCAUAGAUAUCACGCAGAACUCCGAUUGCGAAGGCAGCUUACUAAGCUACAACUGACACUGAAGCACGAAAGCGUGGGGAUCAAACAGGAUUAGAAACCCCUGUAGUCC